rnacentral:rRNA from 1 species
AGUCGAACGAUGAAGCCCUUCGGGGUGGAUUAGUGGCGAACGGGUGAGUAACACGUGGGCAAUCUGCCCUUCACUCUGGGACAAGCCCUGGAAACGGGGUCUAAUACCGGAUAAUACCUGCCUGGGCAUCUGGGUGGGUUAAAAGCUCCGGCGGUGAAGGAUGAGCCCGCGGCCUAUCAGCUUGUUGGUGAGGUAGUGGCUCACCAAGGCGACGACGGGUAGCCGGCCUGAGAGGGCGACCGGCCACACUGGGACUGAGACACGGCCCAGACUCCUACGGGAGGCAGCAGUGGGGAAUAUUGCACAAUGGGCGAAAGCCUGAUGCAGCGACGCCGCGUGAGGGAUGACGGCCUUCGGGUUGUAAACCUCUUUCAGCAGGGAAGAAGCGAAAGUGACGGUACCUGCAGAAGAAGCGCCGGCUAACUACGUGCCAGCAGCCGCGGUAAUACGUAGGGCGCAAGCGUUGUCCGGAAUUAUUGGGCGUAAAGAGCUCGUAGGCGGCUUGUCACGUCGGUUGUGAAAGCCCGGGGCUUAACCCCGGGUCUGCAGUCGAUACGGGCAGGCUAGAGUGUGGUAGGGGAGAUCGGAAUUCCUGGUGUAGCGGUGAAAUGCGCAGAUAUCAGGAGGAACACCGGUGGCGAAGGCGGAUCUCUGGGCCAUUACUGACGCUGAGGAGCGAAAGCGUGGGGAGCGAACAGGAUUAGAUACCCUGGUAGUCCACGCCGUAAACGGUGGGAACUAGGUGUUGGCGACAUUCCACGUCGUCGGUGCCGCAGCUAACGCAUUAAGUUCCCCGCCUGGGGAGUACGGCCGCAAGGCUAAAACUCAAAGGAAUUGACGGGGGCCCGCACAAGCAGCGGAGCAUGUGGCUUAAUUCGACGCAACGCGAAGAACCUUACCAAGGCUUGACAUCGCCCGGAAAGCAUCAGAGAUGGUGCCCCCCUUGUGGUCGGGUGACAGGUGGUGCAUGGCUGUCGUCAGCUCGUGUCGUGAGAUGUUGGGUUAAGUCCCGCAACGAGCGCAACCCUUGUUCUGUGUUGCCAGCAUGCCCUUCGGGGUGAUGGGGACUCACAGGAGACUGCCGGGGUCAACUCGGAGGAAGGUGGGGACGACGUCAAGUCAUCAUGCCCCUUAUGUCUUGGGCUGCACACGUGCUACAAUGGCAGGUACAAUGAGCUGCGAUGCCGCGAGGCGGAGCGAAUCUCAAAAAGCCUGUCUCAGUUCGGAUUGGGGUCUGCAACUCGACCCCAUGAAGUCGGAGUUGCUAGUAAUCGCAGAUCAGCAUUGCUGCGGUGAAUACGUUCCCGGGCCUUGUACACACCGCCCGUCACGUCACGAAAGUCGGUAACACCCGAAGCCGGUGGCCCAACCCCCUUGUGGGGAGGGAGCUGUCGAAGGUGGGACUGGCGAUUGGGACGAAGUCG